rnacentral:rRNA from 1 species
UACGUAGGGGGCUAGCGUUGUCCGGAAUCAUUGGGCGUAAAGAGCGUGUAGGCGGUCCGGUAAGUCCGCUGUGAAAGUCGGGGGCUCAACCCUCGAAUGCCGGUGGAUACUGUCGGGCUAGAGUGCGGAAGAGGCGAGUGGAAUUCCUGGUGUAGCGGUGAAAUGCGCAGAUAUCAGGAGGAACACCAGUGGCGAAGGCGGGUCUCUGGGCCGAUACUGACGCUGAGGAGCGAAAGCGUGGGGAGCGAACAGG